UACGGAGGGAGCUAGCGUUGUUCGGAAUUACUGGGCGUAAAGCGCACGUAGGCGGCUAUUCAAGUCGGGGGUGAAAGCCCGGGGCUCAACCCCGGAACUGCCCUCGAAACUAGAUAGCUAGAAUCUUGGAGAGGCGAGUGGAAUUCCGAGUGUAGAGGUGAAAUUCGUAGAUAUUCGGAAGAACACCGGUGGCGAAGGCGGCCCGCUGGGCAGUGGCUGACGCUGAGGCGCGACAGCGUGGGGAGCAAACAGG
rnacentral:rRNA from 1 species